UAAUUUGGGUUUGUCCGUCCGUCCGUCCGUCCGUGUUUACGAGAGUGCAUUUAUUGGGUAUUUUUCAUGCCAAGAUUGUACUUAUUGGGUACUUUUUGCUUAUUGGGUAUACCCAAUAAGAAGUGUCGCUGAAUAUGCUUAAAACACCCUAAUUGGGUAUUUGCAGGUUAGUACCCAACAAAACUUGGACACGACGAUUUGUCCAAAAAAGUGUCCAAAAAAGUUGCUUUCACGGACGCACCGUGUUUUGUUGUUUCAGUUUUACAUUCGGAACUCUAAAUUCUCGAGAGUUCCGAAAAUCAACUUCCGUUGAUCCUGAUCAUAACAACGUUUGUUUUCAUGGAAAAAAAAUAUGGCGACUAAGAAACACUUGAUGUCAACAAGAUUUUCUGAUUGACAAGAGAAAAGGUCAAACAGGAACUUCAAUUGUGAACAUUGCAGAGAACACACUCAUCAGAAGAUGACCCUCAGAAAUAGGACAAUUAAUGAAUAAAAUGGACAGAGGCAGAACUGAAGGAGAUGCAUGAAAUGAGGAAUAUUUCAAAGAUUGCCUGAGCAUAACCACUGCUACUGGAUAAGCAUAUAUCAAUAUAAAAGAGCAGGGUCAAUGGAGGUAUCAUACAGUAUAGGCCAUGAGAGACCCUGAAGAAGAAAGUAUUGAACAGAAACAAAAAUAAAACCAUUUUGACAUUUAUUGAAAUAUAGGAUCAAAGUCUUACAUGUAAAAUUUGGGCAUAUAAUGACU